rnacentral:rRNA from 1 species
CCUACGGGAGGCAGCAGUGGGGAAUAUUGCGCAAUGGGCGAAAGCCUGACGCAGCGACGCCGCGUGAGGGAUGAAGGUCUUCGGAUCGUUAAACUCUGUCAGCAGGGAAGAACGGUCACUGUGCUAAUCAGCAGUGAAUUGACGGUACCUGCAAAGGAAGCACAGGCUAACUCCGUGCCAGCCGCCGCGGUAAUACGGAGGGUGCGUGCGUUAAUCGGAAUUACUGGGCGUAAAGCGUUCGUAGGCGGUAUGUCAAGUCAAGGGUGAAAUCCCCGCGCUCAACGUGGGAACUGCCUUUGACACUGGCGAACUAGAGUGUGUGAGAGGUAAGUGGAAUUCGAGGUGUAGCAGUGAAAUGCGUAGAUAUCAGGAAGAACAUCGGUGGCGAAGGCAACUAACUGGCACAUAACUGACGCUGAGGAACGAAAGCGUGGGUAGCAAACAGGAUUAGAUACCCUGGUAGUC